GGAACUGUGCCUGAAAAUAGGACCACUUUGAUAGAGUGAAACAUGGGGGUUAAAAUCCCCUCAGCUCCU
rnacentral:tRNA from 1 species